CAGCCGCCGCGGUAAGACAAAGGAUGCAAGUGUUAUCCGGAAUGAUUGGGCGUAAAGCAUCUGUAGGUGGCUUUUCAAGUCCGCCGUCAAAUCCCAGGGCUCAAUCCUGGACAGGCGGUGGAAACUACCAAACUGGAGUACAGUAGGGGCAGAGGGAAUUUCCGGUGGAGUAGUGAAAUGCGUUGAGAUUAGAAAGAACACCAACGGCGAAAACACUCUGCUGGGACGACACUGACACUAAGAGACGAAAGCUAGGGAAGCAAAUGGGAUUAGAUACCCCAGUAGUCCCUGUCUCUUAUAA
rnacentral:rRNA from 1 species